CCUACGGGAGGCAGCAGUGGGGAAUAUUGGGCAAUGGGCGCAAGCCUGACCCAGCAACGCCGCGUGAAGGAAGAAGGCUUUCGGGUUGUAAACUUCUUUUCUCAGGGACGAAGCAAGUGACGGUACCUGAGGAAUAAGCCACGGCUAACUACGUUCCAGCAGCCGCGGUCAUACGUAGGUGGCAAGCGUUAUCCGGAUUUACUGGGUGUAAAGGGCGUGUAGGCGGGGACGCAAGUCAAGUGUGAAAACCACGGGCUCAACCUGUGGCCUGCAUUUGAAACUGUGUUUCUUGAGUACUGGAGAGGCAGACGGAAUUCCUAGUGUAGCGGUGAAAUGCGUAGAUAUUAGGAGGAACACCAGUGGCGAAGGCGGUCUGCUGGACAGCAACUGACGCUGAGGCGCGAAAGCGUGGGGAGCAAACAGGAUUAGAUACCCCAGUAGUC
rnacentral:rRNA from 1 species